rnacentral:rRNA from 1 species
CACGUAGGGUGCGAGCGUUGUCCGGAAUUAUUGGGCGUAAAGAGCUCGUAGGCGGUGUGUCGCGUCGGCCGUGAAAACCUGCAGCUUAAUUGUGGGCUUGCGGUCGAUACGGGCAUCACUGGAGUUCGGCAGGGGAGACUGGAAUUCCUGGUGUAGCGGUGAAAUGCGCAGAUAUCAGGGAGGAACACCGGUGGCGGAAGGCGGGUCUCUGGGCCGAUACUG